UACAAUGGCAGGUACAGAGGGAUGCUACCGGGCGACCGGAUGCGGAUCUCGAAAGCCUGUCCCAGUUCGGACUGGAGUCUGCAACCCGACUCCACGAAGUUGGAUUCGCUAGUAAUCGCGCAUCAGCCAUGGCGCGGUGAAUACGUUCCCGGGCCUUGUACACACCGCCCGUCAAGCCAUGGGAGCCGGGGGUGCCUGAAGUUCGUUACCGCAAGGAUCGACCUAGGGCAAAACUGGUGACUGGGGCUAAGUCGUAACAAGGUAAC
rnacentral:rRNA from 1 species